CCUACGGGAGGCAGCAGUAGGGAAUUUUCGUCAAUGGGCGCAAGCCUGAACGAGCAAUGCCGCGUGAACGAGGAAGGUCUUCGGAUCGUAAAGUUCUGUUGAAGGGGAAAAAGAGCGGAGAGAGGAAAUGGUCUCCGAUUGAUAUUACCCUUCGAGGAAGUCACGGCUAACUACGUGCCAGCAGCCGCGGUAAUACGUAGGUGGCGAGCGUUAUCCGGAAUGAUUGGGCGUAAAGGGUGCGUAGGCGGCCUGCUAAGUCUGGGGUGAAAGGUACCGGCUCAACCGGGAUAGGCUCUGGAAACUGGCGGGCUAGAGAGCAGGAGAGGGCGGUGGAACUCCAUGUGUAGCGGUAAAAUGCGUAGAUAUAUGGAAGAACACCAGUGGCGAAGGCGGCCGCCUGGCCUGUUACUGACGCUGAGGCACGAAAGCGUGGGGAGCAAAUAGGAUUAGAUACCCCGGUAGUC
rnacentral:rRNA from 1 species